AAAAAUCCCGAGACGGGACCAGAGCAGAUUUACUCCCGGUGAUAAACACUAUGAUCGGACUUAUCACCAGUAGAGAAAUCAGCUCGGUUCCCGCCUCAGGA
rnacentral:pre_miRNA from 13 species